UUUGUUUUUAUACAAAAUUUAUUAUUUCGUAUUACAUAGUUAUGUGUACAGGAUGAUCACAUUUUAGAAAAAGUGCAAUUUUUAUUAGAACUUUAAAAGAAUUUAAGCGUGCUAAUGCAGAAAACUCCCCAAGAUAAAACCAAACAGGAGCGAUCCAAGAGUUAAUCAUUGCAUCGCUCUUUUGGGAAAAGAUGAUGUAAACCCCACACCAUGUGACACUGUAAUGAAUAAUACAGUAGUGAGAGAGGUGGGGGAGAAAGGGGGGACGCAAACACUGUAAAGGUUUGCUGAGAAAAAGAGAAGGAGGGUCCUGUAUCCUCAAGACUUAAACUGAGUAGACCGUGCGUUUUGCCGCGAAGACGAGAUGUGCUGGCUGCCGAUAGACCAUCCUCUGCUGCUUCCAGGUGACUCAACCUGCAGCUCCCGUCGACCCUCGCCGUGCUCCGUGGCUCAACUCCUCGCGUCGCGCCUACGAAGGAUCGGGGAUAAGCUGGAGAAAAGCUGGGCGACCGAGCGGGCGGACGUCGGCUACAGCUGCGGGGACAGAGGGACGGUGGUGGUAAGCGGACGGGGUCACCUGAAGGAGGGCUUCCUGUGCGUUGCGCUGCACUUCACCGUGCUCGUGCUGUUCGUCGCGAGGCGACACCUGUAGGGCGCGAGGCUGCCUCACCAGCAACAGACGGUGCCUUUAAGAUUAUGCAUGAGGGAAAGCAACGGGCUCUCAUCAUUUGCACUUAAAGCAAAGGAUGGAGGAGAGUCGGAGGACGCGGUGCAGGAAGAAGUGUGCACAGCGGGUGGAAAAGCGACAAACGAGGAAGCGGGUUAAAUUUGUGUUUCAGGAACGGAACUGCGUUUCUGACUAUUCUGCAUGUGGCAUGAAGACUAACUCAGGUCGGAUAUGGAUGCACUAUACCGAGCUGAGACGACACCAGCAGCCCUGCAGUCAGUCAGCGGCUAUAUCUACCCCUACGUGACUCUCCAAUUCUGUCAUCCCAUCUACAAGCCGGUGAUGUAAUCUUCCCCUGGUAGAGUGGAGGGAAAAGCUUACUAAUAGUACGCCUUUAAAAUUUUCACCUCCCACAAUGCGAGUGCAUCAGUGAAAACUGGGGUUAAACUCAUUAGACCUUCUGUAUCUAGGCUACAAUUAGUGCAGCAAUCCUUAAUAAUGCACUGAAAUGUUUCCAAGCUUCAUAAUGCACUGUACCUUUUCUUUUUUUUAAACAUAAGCUAUAAGUGUAAGCAUGUAAAUAAUGAGAGUGGUUUUUACAGGUGUUUUCUACAGUGUUUAGAUGAUGUUUACACAUUACUCUGCUUUUUUUUUAAUCUGUUGGGGGGAGUGUUAUGUGGCUUGUUAUUAUAAAGAAAACUCCUAGGAAGCUAUGCUGUUAUGCUGUCUGUGAUUUCUGCAAAAAAGAAAAAAGCUUUUUCCCCCCUAGUAUAUUUAAUGUAAUGUGGGUAAAAUUCCUGAAACGGUCUUUUAUAAAGUGUAUGGUCUUUAUACUUUUAAAACAUUUCAUAUGAAUUUUUAGCAGUCCUGAUAAUAAAAAAACGUUUACUGAGA
ensembl:lncRNA